UAAGAACCCGUUAACAAGAUC
ensembl:piRNA 21ur-2533 ncRNA